CGAAGCCGCGAGGUGAAGCAAAACCCAAAAAAAGUAAGUCCCAGUUCGGAUUGAAGGCUGAAAUUCGCCUUCAUGAAGCCGGAAUUGCUAGUAAUGGCAGGUCAGCAUACUGCCGUGAAUACGUUCCCGGGCCUUGUACACACCGCCCGUCACACCAUGAGAGUUGGGAAUACCCGAAGCCUGUGAGCUAACUUUAAGAGGCAGCAGUCGAAGGUAGAAUCAAUGAUUGGGGUGAAGUCGUAACAAGGUAAC
rnacentral:rRNA from 1 species